UUAAGGCUAAACCAAAUUUUUCACUUACAUUGUGCAUUAAAAAGAGCGUGUAACGACUGUUUCAAAUGGAUUUUAAGUAUUUUUUUAUCAACGUGGAUUAUGUUGCAGUUCAAUAGAUAACUGAAGUAAACACCUGACUACCAAACCGUGCAGGUAUUUUUUGGCAGUGGGCAUCCAAAUGCUUUGCUAAAUUCAGGAAAGUUGGACAAUGGAACUUGUACUCUGA